UGCCAGCCGCCGCGGUAAUACGGAGGGUCCAAGCGUUAUCCGGAUUCAUUGGGUUUAAAGGGUGCGCAGGUUGGGGUGUAAGUCAGUGGUGAAAUACUGCCGCUUAACGGUAGAACUGCCAUUGAUACUGCAUCUCUUGAGUAUGGUUGAGGUAGGCGGAAUGUGUUGUGUAGCGGUGAAAUGCAUAGAUAUGACACAGAACGCCGAUUGCGAAGGCAGCUUACUAAGCCAUUACUGACGCUGAGGCACGAAAGCGUGGGGAGCGAACAGGAUUAGAUA
rnacentral:rRNA from 1 species